UACGUAGGGUGCAAGCGUUGUUCGGAAUCACUGGGCGUAAAGGGAGCGUAGGCGGACUUUUAAGUGAGAUGUGAAAUACCCGGGCUCAACUUGGGUGCUGCAUUUCAAACUGGAAGUCUAGAGUGCAGGAGAGGAGAAUGGAAUUCCUAGUGUAGCGGUGAAAUGCGUAGAGAUUAGGAAGAACACCAGUGGCGAAGGCGAUUCUCUGGACUGUAACUGACGCUGAGGCUCGAAAGCGUGGGGAGCAAACAGGAUUAGAUACCCCGGUA
rnacentral:rRNA from 1 species